GCACCCCUGACUGGGUUGGGGGAGAUUGACACUUUGCCUCGUGGCUCUCUCCUUAAACUUACAACCCCAGUCUUACAGGGGGAAGAACGCUGCACACAGUGGUUCAGAAAUAUUCUAGAGAAUCCUCACCAGUCUUGCCAAUCAUCCUCAAAACUGCCAGUGUCUUCCUUGAAACCAUGCAAGUGUGAGUGACUCUGACCCUGGAAGGUCCUGGGGAUCUGAAUUUGGAUCCUCCUGUGUGGGGACACUACCCAGUGAGCCAUCUCCUUGCCUUUCAGUAUUUCAUCGUAAAACAAAAACAUUGCUGGUGAGGCUGGAGGAAAUCAAGGCUGAUGAUGGAUUUGCUUAUUCCUCAGAUAAUGAAGAGCAUGACCCAACUGAGCUGAAGCAUUGACCCGACGGCAUUGAGACACACAGAGGACACUGUGAAUGCUGACCAUCACUCUGAGGAGGAUCCUCAGACACGCUGGUGGCUGCUUUGUCGGACUGGGGUAUCUACUCUGUUCCACAGAAGAAUCCAUUUGCUCUCCCCCACACUGUGGCUAAACUGACUUGUAAAGAUAAACAAAUAAAUAAACGGACAGGUCAUUCCAGCUGCUAUUUUAGAGAACUGGAGGAAAUGAAUGUUUU